UAUGAGUAAUAAUACAUUACAUUCACUUGAAUAUGACAAACCUUAAUCCCAAGAGUUGCACAGAAAAGCCCUCUCACACUCGCCUUGUUGUGGCGCGAACGUGUAAAAGUAUUGCUGAAAUCAUAAGCAAGUACAAGAAGAGACUAUUUUCUGAGACGCGCCAAGUACUCGAAAGAUCGAAAUGCCGUGACUGCGGCCAUUUGAUUGGACGUUGCAACUUUGACUUAUUGAAGAGCGGCCAACGAUUCAAUUUCAUCUCAACCAGGAAAAUCUAUGCCGGCUUAUUUUGUAUAUUCUUUGUCCUACUAUUGGGAUUGGCAUUGAUACUGAUACGUCGAUACAAUCACACAUUUAUUUAUGGAUCUGGCGGCUGCAAGUCGGGAAUUUUUUGGACCUACAAUGAUUGCAUUGUAAUGGCCUAGCCAAACAGCAAAAAUUCUUGCCUAAAGCUACGAAUGGUAAGUCAUGCAUGGAUGGAUAAUAUUGUGUUUUAUUUAGCUCGGCUCAGAACGUAAAAGCAGACGUUCUGCUGCUGAUGCAACAACUGCAAUUGACUCUGCCAAAACAA